rnacentral:rRNA from 1 species
GACGAACGCUGGCGGCGUGCCUAAUACAUGCAAGUAGAACGCACAGUUUAUACCGUAGCUUGCUACACCAUAGACUGUGAGUUGCGAACGGGUGAGUAACGCGUAGGUAACCUGCCUGGUAGCGGGGGAUAACUAUUGGAAACGAUAGCUAAUACCGCAUAAUAUUAAUUAUUGCAUGAUAAUUAAUUGAAAGGUGCAAUUGCACCACUACCAGAUGGACCUGCGUUGUAUUAGCUAGUAGGUGAGGUAACGGCUCACCUAGGCGACGAUACAUAGCCGACCUGAGAGGGUGAUCGGCCACACUGGGACUGAGACACGGCCCAGACUCCUACGGGAGGCAGCAGUAGGGAAUCUUCGGCAAUGGACGAAAGUCUGACCGAGCAACGCCGCGUGAGUGAAGAAGGUUUUCGGAUCGUAAAGCUCUGUUGUAAGAGAAGAACGGGUGUGAGAGUGGAAAGUUCACACUGUGACGGUAUCUUACCACAAAGGGACGGCUGACUACGUG